rnacentral:rRNA from 1 species
AAAUUGAAGAGUUUGAUCAUGGCUCAGAUUGAACGCUGGCGGCAGGCCUAACACAUGCAAGUCGAACGGUAGCAUAGAGAGCUUGCUCUCGGGUGACGAGUGGCGGACGGGUGAGUAAUGUCUGGGAAACUGCCUGAUGGAGGGGGAUAACUACUGGAAACGGUGGCUAA